rnacentral:tRNA from 1 species
GGUCUCAUGGCCUAAUGGAUAGGGCAUUGCUCUUCGGGACCAAAGAUUGUGGGUCUGAAUCCCACCGAGAGGGGAUUCG